UUCUGGAAUGGGCCGAGACAUAUGGGCCUGUCUGCAAGAAUAACGUUCUCAUUACGUUGCAGUCCUUGUGACCUGCCCAAGCGACCAAGGAGAUCCUGAU